GUGAAAAUCAAGAGCAAACAGUGAGGAAAGACAAGUCUUGUCAGUCUGGAGAAUGAGUUGGUUGAACCACCAGGCCCCGGAUCUAUGGCAGCGGAAGCAACAUUGGAAUUGUGUCUUGCUGCGUGCUAGCUGCACUCCAUGGUGGACAAGUUUAAAGGGUGUGAAGUCUUUCCACCACGGAGGCUGUGUGCCAAACAGGCAUUUCCCUGUUGCGGAGGAAUUCCCAGAUGGACCAAGAUGGGGACUGGGUCUUUGGGCCAAGUUUAAAGACUGAUUGCUGUCUUGGUUCAAAGCAUUUACCUUGGCAAAAGAGAGUUAAUGCUUCAGUUUUCUGCUUUAUUGGCAAAUGUCUUGCAGUUACCACUGCCUACUGUUGGCAUGUGAUGAAGAGUGACUUGAGUGAGAAGGUCCCAUCUGGGCUGCUGAGCUACACUGACUGCAUGGUCCUGCUCCAGCAUUCAGAGCAGCAGGAAGCCCAGCCACUGUGCAGACAGAUGAGAAAAAGGUAG
rnacentral:lncRNA from 1 species